rnacentral:piRNA from 1 species
UGCAAGGCUUCCUAGGAACCUGACC